GACUAAAGCCUAAGCCUUUGUCUUCUUUCUUUUUGCCUUCUCUUCCUUUGAAAUACCCUUCUGCUUCUUCUUCUUCUUCUUCACAUUUCGCAAGUACUACUGUUGCUCUUUUCAAGUCAAAAGCUAAAGCUCCUGCCAAAAAGGUUAGCUAAUUACUGUUGAAAAAAAGUCAUUAUCCCCUUUAAUUAUGUAUUUUGUUUAUUUUCAUUUACCGUCUUUCUUUAAUAUAAUUGGGCUAAAUUGCAUAUGCAAUUUGUUGAAUAUCUUAUUUUUUUUAAUUUAUUUUUGAUGGAGCAACAGGUUGUACCAAAGCCAAAGGAAAAAGUUGAGGAUGGGAUUUUUGGAACCUCAGGAGGAAUUGGUUUCACUAAGCAAAAUGAGCUCUUUGUUGGCCGUGUUGCUAUGAUUGGUUUUGCGGUGAGUAUUUCGAUUAAUUAGUUUAUCAUAAUUUUUUAAUGGCUCUUAAAAUAAAAAUAAACAUAGUACUUUUAUUAUUCUACUAAAGGCUCAAUAUUAUAGUAUUUACAUAGUUAGACAAAUAAGUCGCAUCCCAAGGCCAAAGCCUUAUUUUAUUGAACAGGUAACGGAUAAUGUGGUAUCAGUUCGGAAAAAAAAAAAUUCGGACUCAAUGCAUGUAUCAUAAUUCAUAACAUAUAGAUUUGUCGUAGUUGAGUGAUAAACCCCUAUAUUAAUUAAAACUUUGUGUUGACUUGCACUUAUUGCUAUUAUAUAGCUUUGUCUAGUGAUAAUUCAAUGUAAAAAAUAAUAUUAUGUACUAAAACUCUAUGUAGAAACAUAUGACUUGCGCGCGCGCACACACGCGAUUGUUAGACCCUUUCAAAUGCGGACGAAAAGUAUGAGAAAAUAUCCUUUACAUUUAGAAAAUAGUUUGACACUUCCUUCUUAAUAAGUAGUAAAAUUUAAGUAAUAUUUCUUCCUAUAAAUACAUUGUGCACCACUAAUGUAAUGAUGUUAUAUAGGCAUCUUUGUUGGGAGAAGCAGUAACAGGAAAGGGAAUUUUGGCACAACUGAAUCUUGAAACUGGAAUUCCAAUCUAUGAAGCUGAGCCACUACUUUUGUUCUUCAUCCUAUUCAAUCUGCUUGGAGCUAUUGGAGCUUUGGGAGACAGAGGAAAAUUUAUUGAUGACCCUGCCCCUGCUACUGGUCUUGAUAAGGCUGUUAUCCCUCCUGGCAAAGGCUUUAAGGCUGCUUUGGGUCUUAGGGAAGGAGGUAAUAAUAAGCUCCUCCUUUUCUUGAUAUAUAUUUUUACUUUAUUAGGAAGCGGAUAAUAUUUUUAACAAAGUACUCCUAGUAUGUCCAAAACACCACGUGAAAUAUAGAUGUUACUAAACCCUUCGGGUGGCCUAAUUAGUUGAGCAAGGGACUUUCCAAAUAGGAGGUCUAGAGUUCGAAACCAUUUGCAUGUCUCUUCAGUCGAGCCCGUCGCAUGGGGUUUGCUAUUAGUAGAGUUUAUCCUGUGCGCACCCGAAAGGUAGCGGCCAGCAGAGGCGUAUCUAGGUUAAAGGGUAUGGGUUCACGUGAAUUCAUACUCUUCUCCCUAAACCAUGUAUAAUAAUGUCAUAUUUCUUCAAAAUUAUUUAAAUAUAUGUGUGUGCACCGAUGCUCAAAGACUCCUAUGAUGCAAUUAUUAUUUGGUGCACCUCUACAAGUGACAUUGACAGUUCAAAUCCCACACCAAACGGUCUCGUUUUCGGUACGAAGUAUAGAUAUAUAUGUGAAACUUACUAAAAUUUUAAAAAGAAUAUAAUUUUAAACCUAUAAUUUCAAUAGUGUAGUGAGUUCAUGGUAAGAGACUAAAGUUAAACAUGUCAAGUGUAAAUUCUAAAUCUACCUCUUCACAACAGUGCACCCAUCCUCUUGAAAUCCUGGAUCCGCCUCUGGCGGCCAGAGGCGGACCUAUGUGUUACAGUGAGGGGUCACCGACCGCGUAAAGUUUCGGCAGAAAUUUUGUAUAUACAAAUGUAUAUAUCUUGAAAAUAGUUAAUUUAAGGCCCUUGACACCCUGAACAGUAAAAUCCUUUUGGGUGCACUGAUUGAGCAUUAUAUUAUGCCUCGUCACGUAAAAAUCCUAGAUAUGCCUCUGGUAGCGGGUACGGGAUAUAUAUUUUAGUCUUUUUAUUAAUUGAGUUGUAUCAGCUGCAUUUAAACAAAAGAUACUCCUUUUUAGGAGUAAAAUUAUCUACACUAUUUUAUAGUGUUUGAGUUGGUUUCAAGAAUCAACUUGUAGUAUACUAUAAACAUGUACAUUAUGAAAGAGGUGUAUAAAAUAAUCUUUAGUUGGUUUGGCGUUGGAUUUAACGAAAGCGUUGUAUAAAUUCAGGUCCUCUAUUUGGAUUCACAAAGGCAAAUGAGCUGUUUGUAGGAAGAUUGGCACAACUGGGAAUUGCUUUCUCUAUUAUAGGAGAAAUUAUCACAGGGAAAGGAGCUUUGGCACAACUUAACUUUGAGACAGGUGUACCAAUCAAUGAGAUUGAGCCCCUUUUGUUGUUUAACAUUGUCUUCUUCUUCAUUGCUGCCAUAAAUCCAGGAACUGGCAAAUUUGUCACUGAUGAGGAAGAGGAGUGAAGACAGACCAGUUAGUUUCUGUGUGGCUUUUGUGUAGCUUUUUCCAAUAAACUUAAUUUAUAUUUCUUCUAACUUGUGUGCACUCCAUCGCGAUUAUCUUAUUUAAUUUCCAGAAAAAUAAGUAAUAUGGAAGUUCAAAUGAUUGGAAGUUGAAGAGUACCGUAAAUGGCUACUGUGAUGAUAAAACAAUUCUGUCACAUUUCCUCUCACGGUUCAUGAAGAACUUCAAAGGUCAAAGAAAACAAGUGUGAUUAUAGCAAUCUAAAAUUGGGCUUUUUUCCUUCUAUAUACAAUAUUUCAAACUUAUUUACCAAAAAUGUGAUUUGUAAUUUACCUGCUAUAACCAUGAUUUCUUCCUUUAAAGUGUCUCCUUCUAGCUGAGUUUUCCUUCUUUAAAGCGUGAUUCACGCAAAGGGGACGCAAAGAAAAGAACAUGGGUUUGCAACGGAAGAUUCGAUGAAGUGAGGGUGAAGAUUGAAUAAAGCGGCAAUCUCCAAUAAAGGUAGAGAUAAAAACGAGGUUGAAUAGAGGAAACUAAUACCAUUUCUUCUUUUGGCUUUUUGCCCUCACUAGUGUCUCUCUCUUAUUUGCUCGUCCAAUGAGAUGGUCUCUAUAAAAUUGACACAACUCUUACGAACCACGAAUGGAAUUGUACUUGUACUUUCUAUUAGGAGUGGUACUAAAGUGAGAAUCAGCGUGUAAAAAUGUUGAAAUUUUGAGUUCAUUAACUUUUCACCCUUUUAUAGUCAUUGCCAAAGUUGCUAUAGGGCGGCAAAGCAAUCUGCAAAAUUGAAUCAUUCAUUUUUCAGUUCAAACAAACAUGAUUCCGUGCACAUGAGUCGAUUUGGAAUUAGUUAUCUGUUUUUUUAAUAAAUCAAGUAAGAAUGAGUCGAUUUGGAAUUAGUUAUCUGUUUUUUAAUAAAUCAAGUAAGAAAACAAUAAUGUAUGGUACAACAAUAUACAAAUUAAAAAUAUAUUUAUUACAAAUUUGCUAAAUUUACAAUAACAUACAGAUUAAAAAUAAAUUUUAUGCAACUAAUUAUACAGUAUAUAACUUAUUUACAACUUAUCUACAACUUUCAUACAUAAUUCUUACCAAUUAGAUAUAACUACAACAUCAUACAACUUAUAUACAAUUUUAAUACAAAUUUUAUACAAUGUCUUUUAUACGUAUUUUGUAUAUGGUUUGUAUGCGGUGUGUUCUUUUUCUUCUUCUUCUUCUUCUCUAAAAUUCUCCUCUCUUAAUAUAAUUUUGAUACAUAUCAACAACUUAUAUGUAAAAAAAUAUUAUUUAUAACUUAAAUACAAGUUUCAUACAACGAUUUAUACAAUAUAUAACUAAUCUUGUAUUUCAACCUGAAAUUCAGGAAAACUCAACUCUAAUCUUCGCCAAACAUCCUCAAAUUUGAGAUAUAAACUCCAAAGAAUAUUCUCAAUUUUAUAUAUAAUUUGUAUAUAUUUUAUAUGCGGUGUGUUCUUCUUCACUGAAAUUCCAAUUAAAACUCCUUUCUUAAUAUAAUUUUGAUACAUAUCAACAACUUAUCUAUAAAAAAAAUAUUAUUUAUAACUUAAAUACAAAUUUCAUACAACGAUUCAUACAAUAUACAACUAAUUUCUAACUUCUUCUUCUUCUUCUUCAAGUUCUUUUUCGAGUUUCAAUCUGAAAUCCGGCAAAACUCAACUCUAAUCUUCGGCAAACACCCUCAAAAUUGAGAUAUAAAAUUCAAAGAAUAUUCUCAAUUGUUUGCAAUAACACACAAUCCAAAUAAAUAAUAUUUUUUGAAAACCCAAAUUCGAAUUCAAAACUUCGAAGCUUUCUACGCGAACACCAAUUGUGCAACAUGAAAGGAAAUUGCUAAGUUAAAACUCUAUAUUAAAAUAAUUGAAAUCCAUUGAUAAAUUUCCUAGAAAAGAGAUAGAGGUUGAAAACAGAGAAAAUUGAAGGAAGAAAAAUUGGAGAAAGAACAAAGGAGAGGAUGAGAGAGAGGGAGAGAGAGAGAGACGGUGAGAGAGAGAGAGAGAGAGAGAGAGAGCAGGAAAGGGGAAAAUAACUGAUUCCCUAUUAAAUUCAUAUUAUAAAUGGAUACUCAUUAAUACUUAUUUAUAUAUAAUUGAUAAAUUGUAUAUGCUCGUGUAAUUAAGUUAAAAUUUGAUUAGGGAGGGUAAUAAAGUUUCAUAUUUAUUAUAGGAAGCUAAAAAAUCCUAAAAUUAAACUGCCAAAUCUUGUGGGAUUUGGUGGUCAAUAGCUUUAAAAAUCGAUUAAAUUGACCGAACCAAAUCAUAUGUUUCUUUUAAUAAAAUCGUAAAUCUAUAUAUCUAUACUAUAUUAAAAGAACGAAGGCCUUUAGUGAAAUGUCGUUUGCCUUUUUUACCUCCUUGAAAUAGUGUAUACACUAGACUAAAUAAUUAUUUGAUUAUUCUCCUAGCUAAUUUUUAGGACUUUGAAAUUAAAUUAAGCUUAUUACUUAUUAAAUCUUACCUUAUUUGAUUUAAUUAAGAAACUAUUAUAUUUAAAACUUUAAAUUCAUUCAAACUUUACCAUAUAUAAAUUAUACAAUUAAAUUAUCAUUAAGUAAAUACCGAAUCUUAUGGGUAUGAAUUGUCUCUAAUUGAACGCUUUUUUAGCUCAAAAGAGAUUCUUUAAUUGUGCUAAAUUUUAGGUGAACAAUUGUGAUGUAAACAAAAUUUUAAAAAGAAAAUUAAAGAAAGAUGAAGC
rnacentral:lncRNA from 1 species